rnacentral:rRNA from 1 species
AUUGAACGCUGGCGGCAUGCCUUACACAUGCAAGUCGAACGGUAACGCGGGGCAACCUGGCGACGAGUGGCGAACGGGUGAGUAAUGCAUCGGAACGUGCCCAGUAGUGGGGGAUAGCCCGGCGAAAGCCGGAUUAAUACCGCAUACGACUUAUGGGUGAAAGCGGGGGACCGAAAGGCCUCGCGCGAUUGGAGCGGCCGAUGUCAGAUUAGGUAGUUGGUGGGGUAAAGGCCCACCAAGCCAACGAUCUGUAGCUGGUCUGAGAGGACGACCAGCCACACUGGGACUGAGACACGGCCCAGACUCCUACGGGAGGCAGCAGUGGGGAAUUUUGGACAAUGGGCGCAAGCCUGAUCCAGCAAUGCCGCGUGCAGGAAGAAGGCCUUCGGGUUGUAAACUGCUUUUGUACGGAACGAAACGGUCCGGGUUAAUACCCUGGGCUAAUGACGGUACCGUAAGAAUAAGCACCGGCUAACUACGUGCCAGCCGCCGCGGUAAAAC